GGGCAAAGACGCAAAGUUCCUGGAAAAGUGGAGGUCUCUGAUUCAGAAAGUGAGGAUUCAGGAGAAGAAAAGAAUGAUCAAGAGCUGCCAUACUCUGUGACAUGUCCAACCCCUUGAUCCAGUCCAUGCAACAUGUACAAGGUGGAGAUGCAUUGAUUCAUCAUCAGUUUGCGCCACAAAGCUUUGGGGGUCCAUGUCUGAAUGGAUUGCUGUAGCCUUCUCAUUUCUCCAUUCAUCCAGUUCCCUGCAUCAUAAGACUUUAAGCCAGCACAGGACCUAGAAAAAUUACAUGUAAGUUUUUUUUCCAGUUUCUUUUUUGAAAACUAAAUAAAAGAAAGCAUAAGAAUGCUUCCUCUGGCA
rnacentral:lncRNA from 1 species